AUUGAACGCUGGCGGCAGGCCUAACACAUGCAAGUCGAACGAGUGGCGGACGGGUGAGUAAUGUCUGGGAAACUGCCUGAUGGAGGGGGAUAACUACUGGAAACGGUAGCGAAUACCGCAUACCAUCAGAUGUGCCCAGAUGGGAGUGGCUAGUAGGUGAGGUAAUGGCUCACGGAGGCGACGAUGCCUAGCUGGUCUGCGAGGAUGACCAGCCUCACUGGAACUGAGACACGGUCCAAACUCCUACGGGAGGCAGGAGUGGGGAAUAGGGCACAAUGGGCGCAAGCCUGAUGCAGCCAUGCCGCGUGUAUGAAGAAGGCCUUCGGGUUGUAAAGUUCUUUCAGCGGGGAGGCGUUACCCGCAGAAGAAGCACCGGCUAACUCCGUGCCAGCAGCCGCGGUAAUAC
rnacentral:rRNA from 1 species